UCUUUACGGUUCUGUCCCCUAGGCCCCUUCCUUCCAUAAGACCUACUCAGGACUCCACUGGGCUGCUGACUACUCACCCUCCCCUCAGGUCAUCUCCUGACCCGUACACAGUUAUGUCCACCCAGGGUCUGCUUGGACACCUGUGCCUGAUGUUCACCAGGGGCCAGAUGUCGUCCUCAGGCCUGAUGUCCACCUAGGGCCUGAUGACUGCCUUGGCCUAUGUCCCUCUGGGGGCCUUGUGUUCACCUGGGGACUGUAUCCAGCUGGGGCCUGAUGGCCUACUGGGUCUUGUUGUUCACCUAAGGCCUUGUGUCCACCUGGGGACUGGUGAUCACCUGGGGCCUGGGUGUCCACCUGAGGCCAGAGGUGCACCUAAGGCCUGAGUUUUCACCUGGGCCUGAUGAUCACCUGGGGACUGGGUGUGUGCCUUGGGUCUUUUCCCUUUUCCUGAACAGGGCUUGCAGUUUCCAAACCAGACACAAUCUCCCAGUUGGAGAAAGAAAAAGGAUCCUAGAUGAUAGUGAGACAAAUUUCAGGAAACUCCAUCCAAAUAAGUAAAUGAGAAUGAGGACAGGAUUCAUUGCAUGGUGGCAUGUGCCUGCAGUCCCAGCUACUCAAGAGGCUGAGGUGGGAGGAUCGCUUGAACUCAGGAGUUGAAGGCUGCAGUGGGUGAGGAUCACAACACUGAAUUCCAGCUGAGGUGACAGAAUGAGACCCUGUCUCUCUAAAAAACAAGCAAGCAAACAAACCAAAAACCACAGACAAACCAGACCCCUCUUAGCAGAAUACUUCCAUGAGGUAAUAAAAGCUUCACAGGUCCACAAGUUGAAAGUGUACCCCCAGGAGCUGCACUAAAUGAUUUGUACCCAUCUGCACCUGAUUUAGAACGUUUAGAAGGAGCUGUUUCAGGCCUCCUCCUCCUCCCGUAAUAACUUGCAGUCUUUCCUAUGUUAUAAUAAAGCUACAUUUUCUUCUGAAAACUGGC
rnacentral:lncRNA from 1 species